AUGUGGAGGGACGACUGUACUAAAAUUGGAACAAUACAGAGAUGAUUAGCAUGGUCCCUGCACAAGGAUGACACACAAAUUCAUUAAGUGUUCCAUAUUUUU